ACGCACGCACACGCACACGCACACGCACACACACAGGCACACACACACACACAUACGCACACGCACACGCACACGCGCACGCGCACGCGCACGCGCACACACACACACACACACACACACACACACACACACACACACACACACUCUUACAGAGGGCUUGUGGGUAAUGGACGUGCUUUUAAAAAUAUUUCUUUCAUCUGAACACUCUGUCUGGCACCUUGCCUUGACCCACUUAGAAGAUAUUUACUCAAAAGCUUGAUGAGCUGGGCUGUUUGCAGUUUUCUUUGCUGAAACAGAAUAAACAUUCACAUCAGAGUUUUUGGAAACAAAGAUUAAGAAAUAAUAGAAUUAUUAACUAGAGGAUGAUAGAUUACGAUUAGAAGAAUAUAUUUUUUCUUCACACAACAAAGAUUGAAAAAGAUGAAAGUAAAUUGGUAAAAAUGAUAAAAGGUAGUAACAGGGAUUUGCCAUGUUAUAUGAUGCCUGUUAUUACACACAAUACCUGUAUCUGUGUGUUAUUUAUCAGAGCAUUUUGCUCUUUUGUGUGAUGUGCAUCCCUAGCAGUAUGACUGUGUGAGGAGGCCUUCACUGAUUGGCUACUGGUGUCAGACGUGGGACCCCGCCCUCUGUUGUUGGAGUCCAGUCGUAGUGUCUCACUGCUCUGCUCCUGGCUGGGUUUGAUUGCCGGUUCCCUUGGUAACCAGGUGGCAGGUGGAGCUUCUGUGUUACAGCAGGCUAGGGUGGUGAAGCGGGUGGGUAGGGUGGCGGGCUUCCUUACACUGUUUUUGGUAGUAUAUGAGAGGACAACCCUGCAGCUCUGUACAGCUGUGGGCUCUAUCGCAGCUGGACAAAUUGUAUGUAAACAAGGCCAAGAGCCUGUUCAAGCACCGAUGGAAGGUUUGCUUUUGUCUGCUGACCUUACCAUGGGAAUGUGGAGGGAGGAAGAAUGGAUAGAUACAAAUUCAUCAAUUUAUAUUUUAAAUGGAGGAAAGACAGGAUUUUAAAAAUUCACUGUGGGGAAAAAGGGGGAGUAUUACUGUUGGGGGCGUGAUUCUAAAUUAAUCUGCCUUAUUAUUAGUGAUGAGUAGUUGUGUACCAAAAUGAACACCAGGGGGCGCCUGCUGUCUGACCUCACCAGCACCCUCUCAUGCGAGGGGCUGCAGCGUGCGGCGACGUACCGUGUCAUUAAUUUAAUUAGGCUAAGCGCAUUAGGCCCAGAUGAAAGGCUGUAAUUUUGUGUCGGUCUGAUUUUCACUCUUCAGCCUUGUGUAAUCGAGUUCACCUGGAGGAACCUGAACUUCCCAUGAUGCAUCACUCCUGUCAUGAUUAGCCUUUUGCGGGGGUAGUCGGGCCUCCGACGAGAAGGUUUGUGUCAAUUGGUGGCAUCAUCACUCAGAAAGUGAAAUUUGCCCCCUCCAAUAAACGUAAUUUGUGCUCAAAAUCGUUUGUUUGUUUUGCCUCUCUGCCUAAAAAUGUCAGAAGCAUCAGUGGAAAGGGUUCAGAAUGUAUGAUUAACCAGUCAUCUGAGAGCCCGUUGGAUCCUGUCCGGCACGGCGAGAACCUUCCAGCGUACGAUCAGCAGGGGAUCUGGUCGCGUGCGGAGACCUUGUGAGAACAGCUGGUCGUAGAUGAGCAGAGUGUUUCAUUUUCUGAUUUAUGAGCUCAUGGCCGGAUUACACAGUUUCUUCAGCAGCAAACUGAAGUAGCUCUGCAGUAGCUGUACUCUGCCUCUGCUUUUUCUUUCCUUUCAGGUACAGUUUCGGUUUCUAGGGGUGGUUUCCCUGAGGUGUGUUUCAUGUUUUUCUUCUUGUCAUAAUUUCACAUUGCAGCAUUUCUCUGCAACUUUAACUGGCUUGUCAGGACUUGUCAUGCAACACAUAAAACAUUAAGGGGGUGGGAGUGUGGGGGGGGGGGGAUCACAAAGCUUCAGAGUAAACAAAAUAAAGAUUUGACAGAAUAGCACGACCAACAGUGACAGCGCUCUUUAUUAUCUGAGCGAGUUCUGAGCCUGUUCUGAGCCUGUUCUGAGCCUGUUCUGAGCGAGUUCUGAGCCUGUUCUGAGCCUGUUCUGAGCCUGUUCUGAGCGUGUUCUGAGUGUGUUCAGAGCCUGUUCUGAGCGUGUUCUGAGUGUGUUCUGAGUGUGUUCUGAGUGUGUUCUGAGCCUGUUCUGAGCCUGUUCUGAGCCUGUUCUGAGCCUGUUCUGAGCCUGUUCUGAGCCUGUUCUGAGCGUGUUCUGAGCGUGUUCUGAGCGUGUUCUGAGCCUGUUCUGAGCCUGUUCUGAGUGUGUUCUGAGCCUGUUCUGAGUGUGUUCUGAGCCUGUUCUGAGUGUGUUCUGAGCCUGUUCUGAGCCUGUUCUGAGCCUGUUCUGAGCGUGUUCUGAGCGUGUUCUGAGCGUGUUCUGAGUGUGUUCAGAGCGUGUUCAGAGCGUGUUCUGAGCGUGUUCUGAGCGUGUUCUGAGCGUGUUCUGAGUGUGUUCAGAGCCUGUUCUGAGUGUGUUCUGAGCCUGUUCAGAGCGGGUUCUGAGUGUGUUCUGAGUGUGUUCAGAGCGGGUUCUGAGCCUGUUCUGAGCGGGUUCUGCGCUUUGCUGCGGCGCUCUCCGGCCGUGGCUCACUGCGCCGGCGGGAUCGGGGGCGCCGCUGCUCCGCCGCUGCUGUGGUUAAUCGCUCCACGGCGCUCGACGGAAAAGCCGGGCUGGACCGGCGGGAACAGCGGGGUUUCCUGGGCUGAGCCCGGCCAGAGGGGGGUCGGGGUGGAGGUCAGGCGCCAGGGCGAACAAGGACCGCUCCACCGCUCCCUGCUGGUCUCCAGACCCGCGCGCAACCAGCUGGAGCCGCUCCCAUCUCUCCCUCCUCUCCCUCCGCUCCGACUCCCGCUGCUCCCCAACGGAAUCCAGACCUGCUUUUCCUUCUCACUUGUUCCCAACAAAAUUAUUUUCAGAUUUAAACAGAGUUGUGGACUGACCUUAUGGGUUGGGAGCCCUUGUGUCAAGUGUGCAGUUAAGUUGAGAGUGGCUAGGCUAGGCUCGUUGUACCAGGGCUCAGUAUGCGGACCAGAGAGGUCUAUUCAAUCCUGCUACAGUCGCCUUGACCCAGCACUAGCUGCUAACUGCAGCCGGCGAACACUAGGAAUUUAAUAUGGUGUGCGUGUGCUCCAGGCUAGAGGGAUGUACUCUCCCAACAGGGUUCAGAGACAGUCUGGUGAAAACAGCAGAAGGUUUCCUAGCUAGGCCUGAGCAGGAUGUUUUGCAGUACUUAGUGACGCUGGUUUUUUUUUUUUUUUAAAUAAAAAAGUAGCCAGUGUGUGCUCUGCUGCCUCAAAGGCACGCAGGUGAGGAACAGGACUUUCCAAAAAUGCAAAGUUAUGCGUCUCUUGAGCAUAUUGUUAGUGUUCCCACAGCUAGCCCCUCAUCUCAGGCUUUUGCUGAGAUA